GACGGAGCGGGAGGUGCCGGCGGUGCGGUCACGGUGUCUGAGGGCGCAGCGGGCCAGCCGGGCGGGCAGUACUGACAAUGGGAGACGUUGAGAAGGGCAAGAAGAUCUUUGUCCAGAAAUGCUCCCAGUGCCACACGGUUGAAAAGGGAGGCAAGCAUAAGACUGGGCCCAACUUGAAUGGCCUAUUCGGACGCAAGACUGGGCAAGCUGAAGGUUUCUCUUACACGGAUGCUAAUAAGAACAAAGGUAUCACCUGGGGUGAGGAUACUCUGAUGGAGUAUUUGGAAAAUCCAAAGAAGUAUAUUCCUGGAACAAAGAUGAUUUUUGCGGGUAUUAAGAAGAAGGGCGAGAGAGCAGACUUAAUAGCAUACCUCAAAGUUGCCACUGCAAAGUAAAAGUUAUCUGCUGCCUUAUUUAUUUCACAAAGGAGAUGGCAAUGGAAAUGUCUGUGAUGAGAUUGGUUUUUAAACUUUCUAUUUUUACAUGUACUGUGUCUAACCUUAAAAUCUAUCUCACCCAUCAGAUGACUUUGCUCACGGUGGGUCACUGGAGUACACACUUGUUUGGCAGCCAUUAACUUAACAAAAACUAUGUAAUUGGGUUCAGUCAUCCUUGAUCAUAAAAAUUAAAAAAAAAAAAUAAAGAAACAUUUCCUGCCUCUUCAUUGUUUUAAAAAAUAUGUAAAUAAUCAAAUGAGUAAUCAUUAGCAGUGUAAUAACUCUUGAAGAUCAAAAAGCAGGGUGCUUUUUGGCAUCUUCUGCCAUACAUCUUCUGUUACAUUAACAACAAAGGCUAUUAAAAAUCCAAUUCCAGUAUAAUAUUUUUCUAAAUUUAAUCAGUGCUAGGUGUUGCAAUAUAUAUUAAUCUGUCUAAAGCUUGUGAUAAAAAUGCAUUUCAUCUGAUUAAGUACUAUUUGUGAACUGCGACUUGUGCCCAGCCACUUGUCUUUUAUCUAGGGGAACCAUGUUACCUAAUCCAUCCUGACUUUGACAGCUGCAUGCACGUAUAGAAUAUAAUUCCCCUUCAGAAACAUUUCCAGUUUUGAUGUGUUAUUGGUGCCCUUUGCUCAGUAAAUCUUCUGAUAACAGCCAUUCUUAGUGUAAGAGAAAGCACCCUCAUCUGGGAAUACGAGUGCUAGUGGCCAAGCUGAGAGUUAUGUAAUCUUCUUAUUUCAGCAGAAACAUUAACCUAGAAUUCAUUGUUAUGGGAAGUUUCAGAUGGAGGGAUACAGGAAUGAUUGUGCUGGUAGACUAAAACACAAAAUCAAGCAGUCUUCCUCUGUGCCUGGCUGUAGCCACCAUCAUUACUUCUGAAGGUUCUGUUUCACACAUCGUAAAGCAGUAUUUUUAAUGUUUUAUCUGCAUUUUUUUCAUACUAAGUUGUUCAGAAGAAUGUAUUUACUGUGUACCAACAGUAAGGCAUAAUUUGGAGCAAUCAAUACUGUAAAUUAAAAAAAAAUUAAAAGUCUUGCUUGCUGUAUGUGUAUGAAAUUAAGUGCAAAACAGUGGGAAUGCAGAGUAAAGUUUGAUGCCCAGAUUUGCAUCAUUAGGAAACAAGACAAAAAAAAAUACAUGGGGAAAAAGGUAAAUUCUAAUUGAGUUGGUGGGGGAAGUAUAAAUGUGGCAAAGUUAGUGUUUUGGACCAGAGCCAGCAAAGCUCUUUCAGGGAUAUGCUGUUUAACAGCAUUUUUUGCUGUGUUUCCAGAGUGAGAUGGUAGAAAACUCAAGGUGUGCUGUAGGAUAAGGCUACAUUUGAUUUGUGUGGAGUAGUGUACUUAAUAAUGGAAUGGCAAAGCGCUUUAUUCAGAGUACAUGAGUGAAAAGAACUAAGGUUACUAACAGUGGUCUAAGUGAUUGCUACCAUAUGUGUUGUGAUGAUCUUUUAUUUCUGGACUAACCUGCAAACAGCACUUCUUGCAGUUUUGGAUACACUAUUAUAAACAACAGGUUUUUUUACUAAAAUCUUGUUAACAGAAAACUUCAAAUUGUAGUAUUUAUUACUGUUUCAAGUUUUAUAAGUGCUGUUUGUCAUAGCACUUUCAUGGCUAUGCAGGACUGUGGUUUUUUCCAUGCCAAAAUCCUGACAGAGCAGUUGUAGAUACAGAGUGUAACUGUACCCAGCUCUGCAAUCUUCCAGGAUGAUGAAGGUGAAGAGAGUUGUGACACUUUGUUCUGUUAGCACCUUUAUGAAAGAAGACUGAUCUCCAAGCAGCUCCUUACAAUUUGUUUCUUUAGAUAAAUUAGGGAAGAGGAUUUUUCAGUAAAGUCUGGUAAUUCUGCACAGAUAACCAUUUGCAGCAAGUAGGUUACCCAUCAUCAGAAAAACUUGAGGAAGCAGUUAUCCUUUACCAAAAGUAAGCAGAGGAUGGCUCUUCUAUUUGUGCAAAGACAAACAUUACUUCUACAUAAUACUGAAGACUGAGAAAAUUUAAUUCUAGAUGCAGCAUGCCUCCUUGAUAAUAUUUUAGGGAAAAGACCUUUAAAAUUUCAUCUUUCUAUGUAUACAGCCCUAGACUGCAAUGGCUUAAAAGUGUUCUAGUAGGGAACUAGCAGCCGUUUGCCACUGGAGAAACAAUACUAUGGUGUUUUUACUAAAGGAUAAGAAAGCAAAGAAUAUUGGAAGGAGGUUAGAUUAUCACUUAGGUAAGUGUUAAUGCAAGGGCUUGGGUGGUUCUUUGCAGGGUAGGAAGGAGACAUCAUUAUCGAUUACGUAAUCAAACUUCAGUUCUUCAUUUCUAAGUUUAUAUUACAGAGUAGAGGGGUGGGGUUUGCCUUUGUUUUAUGAAGUAUUAAGUAUAGUUGUUUUCAUUCUGACAGUGAUACCAGUCUAGACACAUGGUAGGUCCUUUACAGUUACCAAUUAGAGAAUCGGCACCACUGCCAAACAUAGCACCAUCCUGUAAAAAUUGUGCUUGGCUACUAGUUUGCAGCUUUGCUGGGGCAUGCCUUUGAAACUGCUGUUGUAAUAUUUUCAUGUGUAGUUAUGCAAAUGAAUGAUGAUUGUUAAUGACUGGAAAAAAGAUGAAAUCCAAAAGGACACCUUUUCAUAGCACGACUUCCAAAUAAGUAGGAUACUUGCAAAGCUACAAAACUUAUUAGUUGUACAUCCAAUUGACAUUUAGUAAUACAGAAAUUGUCAUGUUUAUUUAGAAUCUUAACAAUUCAAGUGUAACCACUCUACAACUAGUUUGGGAAAGUUUGAUUUGUUGCUGCCUGUACAAUUGUAAAUAAUUGCUUCAGAUAAAGAUCUUCAUUUUAGUAAUUUAGUAUUGUAUGGGAUUUUAUAAUACUUUCCUUUUUUUGAUAUAAAAUAUAGCAUCAAUUUCUAAAAGAAAUGUGGUACACUAUCCUCUUCCUGUUCGGGGGGAGAACAAAACCAGCUAAUAGGUAAUAAUUAGAUAUUCUAGUCUCUCACAUAUAUCAAAACCCAUUGAAAUGCACACAUUUACCUCUAUCAUAAGCCUUGUCAUUUGCCUUUAUCCAAAACACGUUCUGAAAUCUCAUCCAGGGCUAAAGGCAACACAAGUCUGAUUUACUACAUAGAGGAUGGGUUGAACCAUUUCAAACUGAUGUCCUGAAAACCAGAUUAUUCUGGGAGGUGAGCAGCCCAGAGCUAGCAGUAGAACACGUUAACCCUGGGAAAGAGCAUGAAAUCCUGCCCCUUCCCAGUGCUGCGAAUGCUGAAUCAGGACUCCAGGUAGCUGUCACUCUGCUCAUGAUUUAGACCUUACAUGUGAGUACUUGUGUGGUUUUUUCCAGGAUUGUUCUUUUGAUCUGAAAUACAGAAAAUAUGAUGGUCACCUUUUGAAUGUUUGCUUUCUGCUUAGAAGUCAGUGUCACAGGAGGUAAAAGAAGUGGGUGGUGUUUGCUUUUGUAGCACCAUUCAGAUUCACAUCCUCAGUUUCCAAAAGGCUGCUAUAACCAACAGACUGAACCUGUGUACCGGGAAGAAGAUGCUCUGUGCCUCUCUUGAAGCUGUCAUUAUGCAAAAGGAAAGCUAAAAAGAAAAUUAGCAAAAGAUGAACUAGCUAUAACAAAGUGUUCAAAAUACAUACCUGGGAGCAGGGGAGGUGUGCUCUCUCUAGGUUAUUUAUGCAUUUAAUUUUAAACACCCUUGGAUAAAAAUAAACCUGUCAGUGGAAAUCAGAAGUCAUUAACUCUGCUGGUUUUACAUCUCAUUAAAGCUGUUCAAUGCAGCUUGCUUAUGCAAUGUGAGCCACAGCUUCUUUUCCUUUCAGAAUCGCCCACUCUCCAGAUCCAUCUUCCCUUUCCUCUACGUGUUAAAGCAUAUUUUUGUGUGUAAGUCUGUCCUGUCCCUGUCUUACCCACUACCAGUCUUCUGGUCAUAAGCACUCAAAUGAAAAGCUAUUAGCAGAAAUACCAAGCUGUAUUUUCACCCUUAGAAUAAUUCACAGAAAUUGACUUCUGAUGGCCCCAUUCAGUUACGAGUGUCUGGUGACAAUUUCUUGUUAAGAUGUCUCAUAGUUCUUAAGAUAUGGGACAUUGCCUUUUACUGGUGUUUUUUAAUUCUAAAUCUUUAAGAGCUAACGAAAGCAGGUAGUUUUGUGUGGCUUUUACCUUCACUGUGCCUCAGGGUUUAUUUUUUUACUAUGAAAUACAAUAUGAUUAUAUGAGCAUUCCCUGAUGUAUAGGGAUAAGAAGAAAGAUGCACACGCACUGCAUUUUAAAAAUAUCAUGGUUGUCACCUAUGUGGAACCAGUACCCUCAAUAAUCUGGUGCUCUUACGCAGAUUUCAUUGCAGGAGUGCUCCUACAUUGACUGUAAGCCGCCUUUCCCUGGCAGUAUGUAUCAUAUUUCUACUUUUACUGUUGAUUUUUUUGUUUGGAGAGCAGAGAGGAAAGGAAAUCAGACUUCUCCAUACCUUGCCAUGUUUCCUAUCAGAUUCUGUAAUUUUAGUUCCAGUUAUUUAGUCAAUUUAUUUGUUACUGAUCACAGAAUCACUGAAUCAUUUCAGCUGAAAAAGACCUCCAAGAUUAUCAGGUCCAACCAGUGGCCAGCCACCACCUUGCCAGCUGGGCUCUAAGUGCAAACAAUGUCCAGUUGUUCUUGAACACCUCCAGGAAUGGUGACUAUCACCUCCCUGAGCAGUCCAUUCCAGUGCUUAACAACCCUUUCCUUGAAGAAAUUCAUCCUGAUGUCCAACCUGAACCUCCCCUGGAACAGCUUGAGGCUGUGUCCUCCUGUUUCUUCUUGUAUGGGAAAAGAGGCUCACUUGGUUACAACCUCCUUUCAGGCAGUUGUAGAGAGUGAUAAGGUCUCCACUGAGCCUGCUUUUCUCCAGGCUGAAUACUCCCAACCCCAGGUCCCUCAGAUUUCCUUGCAGGACUUGUUCUUUUCACCAGAUCCUUCACCAGCUUUGUUGCCCUUCUCUGGAGUUGCUCCAGCACCUCAAUGUUUUUCCUGUAGUGAGAGGGCCCAGAGGUGGACACAGGACUUGUGGUGCAGCUUCACCAGUGACAAUUAGAGGGACAAUUCCUCUGAAUAUUAGAUAUUAGGUCUAUAUUCCUUCCAGGGGUAUUUUUAAAGGAAAGGUACCACAGUUUCUAUUCCACAAAUUUUUGCCAUAGUGAAUAAUUUUAAUUCUCAUGUACAAAUUGUUGCUGGUCGCUGGUUAGCUUGCCCAUUUGGUCUUACUCUUUUUCAUUUCACAUUACUGUUACUAUAUAUACAUUUAUGCAUACAUAUAUACUGCUGUUACUAUAUAUACAUUUCAUGUCUGAACUGCAUGUAGCUUCUUGUAUGUUACUAUUCAAAUGUAGUAUUUAUUUAGACAUCUCUUAACUCUGCAGUGGACUCUAAGAUGUACAUCUCUAAUGUGGACUCUAAAGGUAAAGACUUUACUUGAAGAAUCCUUCUACAUGGUUUCAAUUUUUUUUUUUUUUUUUUUUGCUUUUAAUUCAAUGAAAAAGGUUCAGUUUCAACUGGAUGCUUAAGAAAAUCUUUUCUUGUCAUCCUCAGAAACAUGCUUCCAAAUAACAACGAUGGAAGUGCUGAGAAAUGUCUUUAAUUGGCUGCACUUGGUCAGUUUCUUGCUUGCGCUCAAUGAACAGGAGAGGGAGCCAAUGUCCAAAAAAGCUGCAGGGGAGUUGUAUCACACUCUUGAAGGUAAUUCUGAAAAAACCUCAGUUUGAAAGACAAAUUUCAUUUAUACACAAAGCAGUUUUAAUGCAAGUGCUCAGCAAAAAAGCGCUGGGUGAUUAUACAGCUGAAUACAGUGAUAUGUCUGCAAUAAGUCUGUGGUAUUCUGAAGUCUUAAACCGAUUCAUGUUUUAUAUUUCAUCAGGUGUGCUCAAAUUUGAAAUAGUCUGCAUUAAAUUUCAGCCUAUUCAAAUGGUAAAAGAUUCAGCUAGAAAGCAAAAUGUUUCUUUCUGACUGGUCAAAAGAAUCUUAAAUCAGAGGUGGCAAUCUCUAAUGCGUAUUCUGGCAUUGGUCCUACUCUGGAGCUCACUUUGAUGUCAUCAGUUGAAGUAUUAAGCUUGAAAUGGAUAUACAGGUAAUAUAGUUUCUCCACCGGCUGUUAGGCAGAAACAUUGUGACUUUUGUUAGCAAAAAUGCACUUUUAAGUCUGUUUUUAAUACUGCUUUAUGGAUAGUGCUUGGUGUUAGUCUCAAAUUACCCUGAAAACCAUGAUGUUUUACAAUUCAUGUGUAUCGAAAUACUAGCAUUGAUUCUAUAUAGGAUCCUAGGAAAACUAAGAUUUGUAACAUUUAGUUAGAAUUUUACUUAGCAGGGAUAUUUCUUAAGAGGAUAUCAAUGUUAAUGUAACUAUCAGUAUGGAUUUUCUGGUACAUGCUUGAUCAUGAAGCCUUUGCAACUCUUCAAAAUAUCAUGCUGCCUUUUGUCCAUGGUUCGUGGUCAAUGUGUAUAUUACAAGUUAAGCUUGUUUUGCAGUGCCUAACUCUCCCAGGAGCAGUCUGAUCAGA
rnacentral:lncRNA from 1 species